UGUAAAUAAAUAAAUAAAUAAAUAAAUAAAUAAAUAAAUAUUGUACUGUAUUUACGAAUUUAGCACCAAAAUAUCACGAUAUAUUGAAAACAUUGACUACAAAAAUGCGUUGGAUAAUCCAGAACGUUGGAUAAGCGAGUGUUGGAUAAGUGAGACUCUACUUUGUUACAUUUAUUGGAAAAUAAUAGCCUUAUAAAUACUACCUCUAGCAUCACACCAAACAUUUUGUUAAAUUCUGAUGAAAAGAUAUUAAUAAAGGGUAUACAUAACAGAAGCAAAAUCUGAAGCAAGUUCUUCUGUUUUGCCUCAUAUUGGUAAGUUAUUUUCUGUUUGGCCUGAUAUUUAUUCCACCAGAUACGAAAUGGUAAAUUAAAAGGUUAGUAAACUGACUUCCAUUUCAUAGAGAUAAGUAAAUAAAUAAUAAUAAAAAGCAUGAUCAAUGAACCUUUGCAGAAAGGUCAGUCCAACCUAAAAAAUCAAUAAAUAUAUUUAAACUGGAAAGAUUUCCUUUCAAUAUUUUGUUCAGACCUUCUUUUUGAAAAGCUGACCAGAUUCUAUUCCCCUAAUCCUUAAAUCUUCCCUUACUUCCAUCACCAUAGAAACACCUGCUGGUAAAAUCAGUGUUGAUCAGAAACAGGUGGUCUGUUUUUGCCAGCAAAAAGACUUCUAGAAUUACUAGGCUUCAGCUGUGUGACUUGAGAACGCAAGGACCAGCCAGAAACCCUUUCACACUCUUUCUACCAUCCAAUUUAUCUGCAUUUGGUUUAUCUACCUGAACUUAAUCUCGACACCGAGGAAACAUGAACAGUUGAAUUAAGGGGGAAAUACAUAAAAACUUAAGUCAGCCAAAUUGGAAACAUCAAAUCCUUUUGAACAGGUACGUACCAUUCUGCAUUGAAAUUUUAAUUUGCCAAAUCUUGCUGUGUGUAACUCUAUGUAACUCAAAAGCUGUUUUGGCUUCAAUUUACAUGAAGUCAUACUCAUAAAAUGAAGUAAAUCCCAUUGACGCCGGUGAGUAAUACUGUAUUCGUAUAUUUAUAUUUCCUGUCUCAUUGCUUUAUAGGUUUUGUAGUCUUAAAUCUGUACACAUAGUCUGCUGGGUUUUUUUUUCUCCUACACAUUUGUCAUACUGAUAAUGUAGGACUUACUAGGAGAGCAAAGGACAGUUCAGUGUUAGAUGAAUAUGAGAGACCAUGAAUGAUGCUGACUUGGUGAAAAAAAUACUGAAAUACCAUUAGAGUGCAAAUACCAGAAGUAGACAAAAUGUUGACCCAUUUCGAAUCAGUCAGUUCCCUCUGUUGAGAUUUAAAAGAAUAUGUCCCUUCCACCAUUCAAUCCCUUGUAGCAAGCAAGACCAUAGUUUUCUUAUUUCACCCUUAAAGAAUUUUUAAGACUCCUCUUUCACCUUUUCUUUUCAGUUCACAAACCAAGACUGAACAGACCAUUUAUCAAAGGAAAAUUAUAUUAAUGGCA
rnacentral:lncRNA from 1 species